AGGAGCCCAGAGCCUGAAUCAGUGUGUGUGUUAGUGGAAGCGUCUGGAAAGGCGCGCGAUACAGGGUGACAGCCCCGUACACAAAAAUGCACAUGCUGUGAGCUCGAUGAGUAGGGCGGGACACGUGGUAUCCUGUCUGAAUAUGGGGGGACCAUCCUCCAAGGCUAAAUACUCCUGACUGACCGAUAGUGAACCAGUACCGUGAGGGAAAGGCGAAAAGAACCCCGGCGAGGGGAGUGAAAAAGAACCUGAAACCGUGUACGUACAAGCAGUGGGAGCACAGAGCAAUCUGUGUGACUGCGUACCUUUUGUAUAAUGGGUCAGCGACUUAUAUUCUGUAGCAAGGUUAACCGAAUAGGGGAGCCGAAGGGAAACCGAGUCUUAACUGGGCGUUAAGUUGCAGGGUAUAGACCCGAAACCCGGUGAUCUAGCCAUGGGCAGGUUGAAGGUUGGGUAACACUAACUGGAGGACCGAACCGACUAAUGUUGAAAAAUUAGCGGAUGACUUGUGGCUGGGGGUGAAAGGCCAAUCAAACCGGGAGAUAGCUGGUUCUCCCCGAAAGCUAUUUAGGUAGCGCCUCGUGAAUUCAUCUCCGGGGGUAGAGCACUGUUUCGGCAAGGGGGUCAUCCCGACUUACCAACCCGAUGCAAACUGCGAAUACCGGAGAAUGUUAUCACGGGAGACACACGGCGGGUGCUAACGUCCGUCGUGAAGAGGGAAACAACCCAGACCGCCAGCUAAGGUCCCAAAGUCAUGGUUAAGUGGGAAACGAUGUGGGAAGGCCCAGACAGCCAGGAUGUUGGCUUAGAAGCAGCCAUCAUUUAAAGAAAGCGUAAUAGCUCACUGGUCGAGUCGGCCUGCGCGGAAGAUGUAACGGGGCUAAACCAUGCACCGAAGCUGCGGCAGCGACACUAUGUGUUGUUGGGUAGGGGAGCGUUCUGUAAGCCUGUGAAGGUGUGCUGUGAGGCAUGCUGGAGGUAUCAGAAGUGCGAAUGCUGACAUAAGUAACGAUAAAGCGGGUGAAAAGCCCGCUCGCCGGAAGACCAAGGGUUCCUGUCCAACGUUAAUCGGGGCAGGGUGAGUCGACCCCUAAGGCGAGGCCGAAAGGCGUAGUCGAUGGGAAACAGGUUAAUAUUCCUGUACUUGGUGUUACUGCGAAGGGGGGACGGAGAAGGCUAUGUUGGCCGGG
rnacentral:rRNA from 1 species